rnacentral:rRNA from 1 species
GUAAAUGCAGUCGACGGUGAAGCCAAGCUUGCUUGGUGGAUCAGUGGCGAACGGGUGAGUAACACGUGAGCAACCUGCCCUGGACUCUGGGAUAAGCGCUGGAAACGGUGUCUAAUACUGGAUAUGAGACGUGAUCGCAUGGUCGUGUUUGGAAAGAUUUUUCGGUCUGGGAUGGGCUCGCGGCCUAUCAGCUUGUUGGUGAGGUAAUGGCUCACCAAGGCGUCGACGGGUAGCCGGCCUGAGAGGGUGACCGGCCACACUGGGACUGAGACACGGCCCAGACUCCUACGGGAGGCAGCAGUGGGGAAUAUUGCACAAUGGGCGGAAGCCUGAUGCAGCAACGCCGCGUGAGGGAUGACGGCCUUCGGGUUGUAAACCUCUUUUAGCAGGGAAGAAGCGAAAGUGACGGUACCUGCAGAAAAAGCGCCGGCUAACUACGUGCCAGCAGCCGCGGUAAUACGUAGGGCGCAAGCGUUAUCCGGAAUUAUUGGGCGUAAAGAGCUCGUAGGCGGUUUGUCGCGUCUGCUGUGAAAUCCCGAGGCUCAACCUCGGGCCUGCAGUGGGUACGGGCAGACUAGAGUGCGGUAGGGGAGAUUGGAAUUCCUGGUGUAGCGGUGGAAUGCGCAGAUAUCAGGAGGAACACCGAUGGCGAAGGCAGAUCUCUGGGCCGUAACUGACGCUGAGGAGCGAAAGGGUGGGGAGCAAACAGGCUUAGAUACCCUGGUAGUCCACCCCGUAAACGUUGGGAACUAGUUGUGGGGACCAUUCCACGGUUUCCGUGACGCAGCUAACGCAUUAAGUUCCCCGCCUGGGGAGUACGGCCGCAAGGCUAAAACUCAAGGAAUUGACGGGGACCCGCACAAGCGGCGGAGCAUGCGGAUUAAUUCGAUGCAACGCGAAGAACCUUACCAAGGCUUGACAUAUACGAGAACGGGCCAGAAAUGGUCAACUCUUUGGACACUCGUAAACAGGUGGUGCAUGGUUGUCGUCAGCUCGUGUCGUGAGAUGUUGGGUUAAGUCCCGCAACGAGCGCAACCCUCGUUCUAUGUUGCCAGCACGUAAUGGUGGGAACUCAUGGGAUACUGCCGGGGUCAACUCGGAGGAAGGUGGGGAUGACGUCAAAUCAUCAUGCCCCUUAUGUCUUGGGCUUCACGCAUGCUACAAUGGCCGGUACAAAGGGCUGCAAUACCGUAAGGUGGAGCGAAUCCCAAAAAGCCGGUCCCAGUUCGGAUUGAGGUCUGCAACUCGACCUCAUGAAGUCGGAGUCGCUAGUAAUCGCAGAUCAGCAACGCUGCGGUGAAUACGUUCCCGGGUCUUGUACACACCGCCCGUCAAGUCAUGAAAGUCGGUAACACCUGAAGCCGGUGGCCCAACCCUUGUGGAGGAGCCUCGAAGAUGAUCGAC